rnacentral:lncRNA from 13 species
UAAUUCUAAUUUUAUAAUUCGUUCUUUAGAUAUUUUUCUCGAAAAUAUUUGCAUAGUUAGAGCACUUGGCCGCCCUCUGAAACCGGCAUACUUUAGGCCAUUACUUCAGAAGAAUAUAAAAAUGACUUAAAGAAUAAUACUUUUCUAUCUUAAAGAUGAUAUUUCAAAAUAAAAAAAAAAAUAACUUCAACUGUCGGCUGUUCAAACAGUUUAAAGGAAAAAUGAACAAAGACCGUUAUCGUUGCUCAAUGGUUAGAUGUAUUCCACCUUUUGGGGCAACUAUUAAAACUGACGUUUUAUCUAACGUUAACGGGAUUGAAGUCUUUG